rnacentral:snRNA from 1 species
UAGUGCUUACAGCUCUUUUUGAAUUUAUCUAGUAAGUCUUCCAGUUUUCACCUGAAAGCCCCC